GACGAACGCUGGCGGCGUGCUUAACACAUGCAAGUCGAACGGAAAGGCCCUGCUUUUGUGGGGUGCUCGAGUGGCGAACGGGUGAGUAACACGUGAGUAACCUGCCCUUGACUUUGGGAUAACUUCAGGAAACUGGGGCUAAUACCGGAUAGGAGCUCCUGCUGCAUGGUGGGGGUUGGAAAGUUUCGGCGGUUGGGGAUGGACUCGCGGCUUAUCAGCUUGUUGGUGGGGUAGUGGCUUACCAAGGCUUUGACGGGUAGCCGGCCUGAGAGGGUGACCGGCGACAUUGGGACUGAGAUACGGACCAGACGCCUACGGGAGGCAGCAGUGGAGAAUAUUGCGCAAUGGGCGGAAGCCUGAUGCAGCGGCGCCGCGUGCGGGAUGACGGGCUUCGGGUGGUAAACCGCUUUCGCCUGUGACGAAGAGUGAGUGACGGUAAUGGGUAAAGAAGCACCGGCUAACUACGUG
rnacentral:rRNA from 1 species